rnacentral:rRNA from 1 species
GUCGAGCGGCGGACGGGUGAGUAACACGUGAGAAUCUGCCCAUUAGUGGGGGAUAACCUGGGGAAACCCAGGCUAAUACCGCAUAAUCCCUACGGGGGAAAGCAGGGGACCUUCGGGCCUUGUGCUGAUGGAUGAGCUCGCGUCGGAUUAGCUUGUUGGUGAGGUAAUGGCUCACCAAGGCGACGAUCCGUAGCUGGUCUUAGAGGAUGAUCAGCCACACCGGGACUGAGACACGGCCCGGACUCCUACGGGAGGCAGCAGUGGGGAAUCUUGGACAAUGGGGGCAACCCUGAUCCAGCCAUGCCGCGUGUGUGAAGAAGGCCUUCGGGUUGUAAAGCACUUUCAGUAGGGAGGAAGGCUUAUCCUUAAUACGGAUGAGUACUUGACGUUACCUACAGAAGAAGCACCGGCUAAUUUCGUGCCAGCAGCCGCGGUAAUACGAAAGGUGCGAGCGUUAAUCGGAAUUACUGGGCGUAAAGCGCGCGUAGGCGGUUUGCUAAGUCAGAUGUGAAAGCCCCGGGCUCAACCUGGGAACUGCAUUUGAAACUGGCAGGCUAGAAUGCAGUAGAGGGAGGUGGAAUUUCCGGUGUAGCGGUGAAAUGCGUAGAGAUCGGAAGGAACACCAGUGGCGAAGGCGGCCUCCUGGACUGACAUUGACGCUGAGGUGCGAAAGCGUGGGGAGCAAACAGGAUUAGAUACCCUGGUAGUCCACGCCGUAAACGAUGUCUACUAGUCGUUGGGAAUCUUAGUAUUCUUGGUGACGAAGUUAACGCGAUAAGUAGACCGCCUGGGGGAGUACGGCCGCAAGGUUAAAACUCAAAUGAAUUGACGGGGGCCCGCACAAGCGGUGGAACCAGGUGGUUUAAUUCGAUGCAACGCGAAGAACCUUACCAGGCCUUGACAUCCUUGGAACUUUCUAGAAAAUAGAUUGGUGCCUUCGGGAGCCAAGUGACAGGUGCUGCAUGGCUGUCGUCAGCUC